ensembl:lncRNA
GUCAUUGUAAGACUCAAUGGGUAAGUUAUUUAUACUGUCAUAAAUGCCAUUGUUCCUUCAUAUUUUUCUUGCUCCCCCAAUUACUAAUGUAAUGAUAACUACCAACCUAAUCUCAUAUGAAAUUAUAGUGACCAAAAAAGUGCUUUUGUUGGAUUUUAUUUCGUGUAAAGUGCGUAAUAAAUCCAUUUAUUCAUCUUCAGUAGCUGUAUCCUGGUCACUGGUCACAGUGGAUUCAGAGCCCAUCUUGAAACAGUAGACACAAAGCAGGAAUACACUCCAGCUAUCACUUGUCAUUGUAAGACUCAAUGGGCUACCAGCAUGAAGAAAACAUCAAAGUGUCCUUCAGGAGAGGCCCACAGGUCAUUUUUGAAGGGACCCACCUGAAGAGGCAAGAAGGAUUAAAGACAAUCCUUUGCAAGACAAGUCAACACCUUAAAGAGAAGUUGUGGUCAGGAACAAUUCCCGUUCUAUUGUUUUACAGAGGAGAGGGGAUGUUUCAGACAAGCAAGAGGUGUUAGGAGAAUACAUUCUUCAGUUUGGGAAGUACAAAGGGAAGUCCUUCCCGUGGCUAGUGGAGAAUGAUAUUGGCUACAUUUUGUACUUGUCCAGUAAGGUUGAUGAGGAAGAACAGGCUGACCCAGAUGGUCGUUGCAAGGAGAGCCUCCUUUCCUUUCUUGAAUAUUCAAGAUGCUUUAAGGAAAUUGAAGAUCUCCGACGAUCCCUUUCAGAGAGGCCAGACUCAGUGCCAGUUUUGUCAGAUGAUGACAAUGUUGUUGGAUUUGGGGCAUGAGCACAGGACACCUGGAGGAUGAUCUGGAAUACCAGGGCUUAUGGGUAUGCUGCCUUUAUAAUGGGGAAGAGCUAUGUUCCUGGAAGUAAAAUGUACUGCUUGCAGCAAUAUAUUUUAAAGCAUAAAAAACAGGUGACCAUUGCUACACCUUCACCCUCACAAUCAACUCCCUCCACAACUUCCACUUCACACCUUUUCUCUGAUUAUCCAUGUGAGUAAACCACAUUUAUAUUUGUUUAUAUAGAUUCUUACAGUCUACUGAUGUAUUUGUUUCAUUUCACAGUAAUGGAGGAGGAUGAGAUGAUGCUGAGUCUGUCUCCACCCAAUUAUCUAGUUCAACCUGUUUAUGGCAUAUUAAAUAGCACAUACUAGAGUUAUACUAAACAAAUUCUAUUGUAUAUUUCAGAGUCAUCUGCAGCCACUCGGUGUCCAGUCUUCUCCACAGCACGAGGUUAUUUUCCACAUCAGUUUUGGAGCCGUAUGCUGUUACCCACAGAUUUAUCCUUCAUAACUCUUUUUCAUACCUUUUUUAUUGUUUUGGCAGUGUUUUUGCCUGUUCUAAAACUUGUGUUCUUUUGUUAUACUAACAAUUGGUAAAGGUUGAACAUAUCACUGUUGAGGGUGAGUGCACUUCAUGAAUUUUAUGCAUGCUAUUUAACAUAUUUGUAUUGUCUACUCAAAGCUUUAGCUGUUUUUAAAGAGUAAACUUUCAAAUUAGGAUCAAUUUGUAAUCACUUUAAGUUUUUAAAUAAUCUGUGCAGUUCAAUCAUAAAGGUGAACAUUAUUUGAACUUGCAUUAAUGGAAUUUUUAAAUAAAUAUUCUGUUGUUGUAAGUUCUAACUGAUCCAUCCAUCUAUUCAUCUUCUAUACCGCUUAUCCUCUACAGGGUCACGUGGAAACCUGGAGCCUAUCCCAGGGAUCAUCGGGCACAAGGCGGAGUACACCCUGGACAGGGUGCCAGUCCAUCACAGGUUCCGCCACAGCCAACACCGUCUGCGGUCUGCCAUCCAGUGCCAACAAGCAGACUGUAAUACACAUUGUGAUACAUAAUUAUGAAAGAUAUUGUGGUAAAGUCUGCUGUGAAUGGUCCCACAUUGAUACCCUAAAGAUUUUCACUUUCCAGAAACAGUUUAUGCCUAUCUCACUGUUGCUUAAGUAGAUAAAUCUCACCUGCAUAUUGCAUACUUGUAUCUAGAAACUGCUGGUGUAAUCAAAGUGUGAUGCUGGUACUGAUCAACACACUUAAUACUGUUUGACUUUAUAUGAUAGAGUUAUGUAAGAGUAAUGAUUUUUAAUCUCACUAUCUGGUGUCCCCCAGAAGAAGAUGGAUUCCCUUUUGACUAUGGUUCCUCUCAAGUCUUCUUCAUAUGGUCUCAGGAGUGUUCCUUGGCA